rnacentral:rRNA from 1 species
UACGGAGGGUGCAAGCGUUAUCCGGAUUCACUGGGUUUAAAGGGUGCGUAGGUGGGUUGGUAAGUCAGUGGUGAAAUCUCCGAGCUUAACUUGGAAACUGCCAUUGAUACUAUCAGUCUUGAAUACCGUGGAGGUCAGCGGAAUAUGUCAUGUAGCGGUGAAAUGCUUAGAUAUGACAUAGAACCACAAUUGCGAAGGCAGCUGUCACACAUAUUGACACUGAGGCACGAAAGCGUGGGGAUCAAACAGG